rnacentral:rRNA from 1 species
UACGAAGGGGGCGAGCGUUGUUCGGAAUUACUGGGCGUAAAGGGCGCGCAGGCGGCUCUGUAAGUCAGUUGUGAAAGCCCCGGGCUUAACCUGGGAAUUGCAUUUGAUACUCUGGAGCUUGAGUGCGGGAGAGGAGAGUGGAAUUCCCAGUGUAGAGGUGAAAUUCGUAGAUAUUGGGAAGAACACCGGUGGCGAAGGCGGCUCUCUGGACCGUAACUGACGCUGAGGCGCGAAAGCGUGGGGAGCAAACAGG